rnacentral:rRNA from 1 species
GAUGAACGCUAGCGGCAGGCUUAAUACAUGCAAGUCGUGGGGCAGCAGGUCCGUAGCAAUACGGAUGCUGGCGACCGGCAAACGGGUGCGGAACACGUACGCAACUUUCCUUCAAGCGGGGAAUAGCCCAGGGAAACUUGGAUUAAUACCCCAUAAAAUAGUAGGGUGGCAUCACCUAAUUAUUAAAGCUCCGGCACUUGAAGAUGGGCGUGCGCCUGAUUAGGUAGUUGGCGGGGUAACGGCCCACCAAGCCUACGAUCGGUAACUGGUGUGGGGGCACGAGCAGUCACACGGGCACUGAGACACGGGCCCGCCUCCUGCGGGAGGGAGAAGUAAGGAAGAUUGGGCAAGGGAGGCAACUCUGACCAGCCAUGCCGCGUGGAGGAUGAAGGUCCUCUGGAUUGUAAACUUCUUUUAUCUGGGAAGAAACCCAUGGUUUCUACUGUGGUUGACGGUACCAGAUGAAUAAGCACCGGCUAACUCCGUGCCAGCCGCCGCGGUAACAC